AUCAGACAGACGUGUCCUCGCGGGUCAGCGAGCCCCGGGAUCAGACAGACGUGUUCUCGCGGGUCAGCGAGCCCCGGGAUCAGACAGACGUGUUCUCGCGGGUCAGCGAGCCCCGGGAUCAGACAGACGUGUUCUCGCGGGUCAGCGAGCCCCGGGAUCAGACAGACAUCUUCUGUUUGUGGGUCAGUGAGCCCCGUGAUCAGAUGUGUUCUCGCGGGCCGCCCAGCCCCAUGAUCAGACAGACGUGUUUGCUCCUGCUUGUGUUAAGUGGUCCCCUGCAGAACUCAGAGCGUGAGGCACAGUUCCUGUGGGGCCUCGCCUAAAGAGGGACGUGCAUCCCAGGACCGCGGGGAGGGGCGGGAGAUGUGGAGGAGGGUGAGAGAGCCAGCAGAGACCGUCCCACGACUGCCCCCGGAGCUGCCGCCUCUUCCAGGAUGGACCGUCAGUGGCCGGCUGGGCUGAGCGGGGGCAGAGCUGUUGUCCGUGGCUCUGGCGCUGGUCCUGCCCGGCAUCGGGCGUGUGGGACGUGGUGGGGGUGGACAGGUGGUGUCGGCAGGGAGACCUGUGCUGGGAAGUGGGUGCCUGCUGGGUGGGCGUGAGGCCAGGUGUGCUAGGUACCGGAGAGCUUGCCUGGGAGGUGCCCGUGCGGGUUGAGCAGAGUGAGGGCCCUCGCGAGCAGACCUGUACCCUGGCCCAGAAUGGGGCUUACGUAGCCCAGAGUCACUUCCGAAAACGCCACGUGGCGCUGUGUGUGUCCGCGAGGAAUUUUAAGGAAAGCAUCUCGGUGUGCUGUGGUUUGUGUACGCUUGAGAUUGAAAAUUGUGGCUGAAAUAGCCUCAGAACUUUUAAAGGGUCACUGUCUCGAUGCCAAGUUAUCUGAUAGAAAAUGCACUGGGCUUGAGGAUAGAAUGUAGGUGUUCGUUACGUGCUCAAAAAGCAGCGGCGGUUUGAAGAACCAGUGUUAACAGCGAUUGCUUUCAGUGGUCGCACGACUUUCUCUCUGCUUCUGUGUGUUCUCUGAGUGUGAACGUGUUCCAUUUGUGGUAAGACACAAUGCAGUGAGCAUUUUUUGAAUGACAGACGUGGACGCUUGGCAGUUAGGGUGCCCGUGUCCCACAUCAGAGGGCCUGGGUCCGAUGCCCGGCGUGGGCUCCUGACCCCGCUUCUGCAGUGCGCAUGUGGUUGGGUCCCCGCCACCCACACGGGAGACCUGGGUGAGGCCCCGAAGCCCCGGCCGUGUGGCAUUUAGGGAAGGAAGCAGUGGAUGGCGGCGCACGUGCUAUGUCCCUACCUCCCUCCGUCUCUCCUCUUUCUCUGGUUUUCUCUCUCUGUCUCUGUCUCUCCAGGAAAUAAAAUUUUUAAAAAAUGUGUCUCCAAACUGGAGAUUUUCCACCUUUUUUUAAAAAGCAGGGUACGUUCUUCUUAGGGACGCGAUAAGAAGCCAGGCUGAUUUGACCUUGGAUGGCUUUGAAAUCGCCGCCGGUGCUCAGCCGUGCAGGGCAGUGCCGUGCCUUCCGCUAAAUGUGGCAAUGCAAUCACCACGAUGCCGGCUGUCACAGGGAGCUGAUUCUUCACCCAGGGCAUCAGGGGCGUGUUUUGCCGUAGGGACAGGUGACUCCGAAAGCCAGAGGUGUCCAUUCUCGGGUAAAGUCACGUGGCGGCUGCUCUGGCCCAGGAGAGCUUGCUUGUGGUCAUUUGGGUUUUGAAUUGAACCCUUCAUGGUGAUUCUCCCAAAACAAUGCCCGUGUCUCCCCUCGAAGACCUUCUUCAGAUGAGAACCGUGGGCAGGGAGGGGCUCGGCAGCAGCCCUCCACCCACGUGGCCGCGCUCACGGCCAGGCUCCCCUUGCUGUGCGGUGGGUGCAUUGUGGUUCGAGUCACAUUCACGAGCUCUGGACCCAAGGUGACUGCUAAGAACGAGAGCAGUCUAUGCCUCAGCCUGCAGCCCAGUGUCGAUGAAACCACGGUGGACGGUCGUGUGCAGGGAGACGCAGGCCUGCGUGGGUCCCAGCUCCCGAGUCAGGUGCAUUAGGGGAGAGCUCCCAGGGAGCCCCGGCUGGACGCCCACACUUCCCCGCUAGGAAGUGGCUCCCCUGCCAGCCCCAGUGUCCCACGGCUGCCCCUGCGGUGUGGUGGGUACCGCAGCACGUGCAGCUCGGCCGUGGUGGUGGCGGAAGCGCCUGGUAGCUCGCUUUCGAGGAAGUCGGCCUUGCCUUUGGGCAGCACUGGAAGACAGCCCCGGCCCUGUCAUCCCUGCACCCCGUCCCGCGGGAGAACCGCCAGCGGGGUUCUGUGGUGGGAACGGGCACACAGGGCGGAUGGUUCCCGCUCCUCUCUGCUGGCCGGUGCUUUCCCCUUUGUGUUCUGUGGUUGUUCUUUACAAGUAAGUACUUCGGCCCGAGGCACCCUGUGCACACACCUGUGCACGCACAGCUCUGUCCGGCGGUACGGGUGAGUGAGAGCCCAUGGCCCGAGGGAGGCUGAGGAAUAGAGAGGUGCCCGUGACUGCGUGAGGAGGAGCUGCGGCAAAACCAGAGCCAGCCCCAGGGUCCCGGCUGCAGGCUGGGGCGCCGGGCCUCGGGAGCCUAGGGCCCGGGGCUGGGUGUUUCUGACCGGAUUGCAGCCUGCCCCUAGGCCUCGCUCGGCAUGGAAGGAAAAUGGCUUUGUUCAGUGACACUGGUGCUGAGGUUCUGGAAGGGGAAGCCGGUUCCGUUCCUGGUCAUUUAGGACGGCCACAGCCCCUACCUGGCGGGUGCGGAGUGAAUUAAAUGCUGACAGUUGGCACACGCCGUGCUGUCCUUGGAGGUCUCCGGCGCCUUCAUGGACCCCGGCUCGCCAUCCGAGCUGCAGGGUGCAGGCGGCUGGAGAACCCACUCGUGACGUCUGCCUGCUGGGCCGGCGCCAUGUCCAGAGCCGGGCUGAGGUGCGGGAGCAGCCUGCUGCACUCUGGUUUUCCUUCCUCUCCCGUUGCUCCCUGGCUGGUUCUCGGUGCCCGGCCCGGCGGCACCACUGCUCGAGGCAAGGAGGAAGUUGAGCCGUGCGGGUCCUGUUCUCGGUCACGACUCGGCGUCGAUUUUUCCACAUUGACUUUGAUUUGCUUAAAGAUGACGUCAGAGUUCUGUUAAUCCUGAUUUGAAGCUGAGUGCUGCACCCUGCCCUCCCUGGCCUGGCCCCGGUGGCCUUGUGAGGCCAUCUCAUUGCCCCGCUGUGCCAGCACAGACACCUGUCAGUCACACGUUGAGCUGCUGCACCCGCUCCUGGGUGUGAACCUGUCACUCAGUGCAUCCGAGCUCCGUUAGGAGAUUCUGUGUUGCCUGUCAUCGGCCGUCAGACGCUCAGCUCUGCGUAUUGUAAGUCUCUGAAGCUGGGUGGUUAGUGAUUGGCAUCUUGUGUUCUUUCUGGAAUGACUGACAGAUGUCAGUGCCUCCAGGAUCACAAGGUGUGGGGUUCACCACAGCCCUGGAUGCAGGAACAGCCUUGAUCUCUGCUGGGCCUCGCCAUGCAGAGAACGUGUCAGGGUGGGGAAAUGGUCCAUGUCUUGUUAGACGUUUAUUUUAAGCAUUCUUUGUUGGCCCUUACACUGUGUGUGUAUUCUAUACAAAUUUGGGUUAUAAACAUGUGCUGUCCAACUGGAGCUCACAUGAAGCCAGCGACAGUUUACGCUAAAACCGGCACGCUUGUGAUCGAGAGAGGGCGAGUGCCUGACUCUGGAGUUAGAUGACUUCCACUGCUUUUGCAGAGCUGCGGGCACAGUGGAGGACCUAGAUAGGCUCCUCCUCUGUCCACAGGGACCGGCAUGUGGCCUCUUUAUCCUCUCUCUCCUGUCGGACGGCUUCUCUCCCCUUCCACGCUGUUGGUUUUGCUCACAGCAUCUGCCUAGCAUUGCAGCUAGAGCGCGGCAGGGACCCCAGGACGGCACUGCGUGCACUCAGGGUUCCACUGAGGCACCUGAGCCAGCCCAAGUGGGUUAGACGUCCACACUGUUGUCCAGGCUGUUGUCAGGAGGGAUCCCAGAGGGUGAGACAGGGAUGGUUGGGGCAGGGCGGCCACGGGCGGGCAGCGAGAGGGCUGUGAGCCAAGGAAGGACGGUGGCUCAGGAGCCUCGACGAGGGACUCUCCUGUGGGCUGCGUUGCCACGUUGUGUCCACGGUCUCGUGUUCCUCCGCAACCUGGGCCGCUCCCCUCUCUCCCCGGUGCUCCAGGGAGCACCCUCACUGGAAUCAGCCCUUUCUACGUGGCAGCCAGCAAGCAUGCCCUCGGCCGUGGUCCUGGCCUUACUGAUCCUUAGGAGUGGCUGGGCCUGUGACUGAUAAGAAGAGACAAGCAUUGGCAACGUAAUGGAGUCGGUCCCUGCCUCCCCAGCCACUGAGGGUCCAGCCUGUGCAAACCGCGGCUCUGGGGCUCACUCGUGUUCGUUCUGUGUGGCCGUGUGGCCGUCCACCAGCGGCCCACGAGCACUGGAUGGUGGAUGCUGCAGGUGGGAGGCGCCGUGUGAGAAGAGCUCAGGAGGAGCCCGUGGGGACAGCAGGUGGACCUGCAGGCCGUGAGGGUGGGUUGUGUGUGGGCCAUGUUCCCAGACAUGACAGAGGUCAUCAGACGUUUGCCUACAAGCUUUGCCUUAGGAGAAGUAACAUCUAGGAAUCGGAAAGGCCGCCGUGGGAGUGCAGCGUGAGGCCACCUGGAACCCGUCUCCAGAGCCAGCCAUGCCGGUCAGCUGUCACGAGCUGGACAGGCCGCUGCCUACACCUGGGGAAGCUGCGCUGUGCCAGGCGCUGGGCUGAGGUUCACAGAACCUGCGAGGACCAGGGAAGCAAGUGCUGGGGAGGGAAAACACCUGGGCUUGGGGCACCGGUGGCAAGUGCAGGAGGAGGGGUUUCAGGGAUCUGGGGAUGGACCCCUGGGAGAGGAAGGGGUGGGCGGCCCAGGCGGCGUGAGCCAGAUCCUGAGCUGAGCCACGUGGUGCCCUGAGGAGUGCCCCAUUUAAACUCUGGUGACCCAUUUUAAUUAGUUUGAGAGACCUUACAGAAAACAAGUGUUUGGAGCAGAAGCAAAUGAGAUUAUUUUAACGUUUCUUUUAAUUUUUUUUUAAUUUAUUUGACAGAGUUAUAGACAGUAAGAGAGAGAGAGAGAGAGGUCUUCCUUCCGUUGGUUCACUCCCCAAAUGGCUGCUACGGCUGGUGCUACGCUAAUCCGAAGCCAGGAGCCAGGUGCUUCCUCCUGGUCUCCCAUGCGGGUGCAGGGCCCAAGGACCUGGGCCAUCCUCCAUUGCCUUUCUGGGCCACAGCAGAGAGCUGGACUGGAAGAAGAGCAACCGGGACUAGAACCCGGCACCCAUAUGGGAUGCCGGUGCCGCAGGCAGAGGAUUAACCAAGUGAGCCAUGGUGCCAGCACACAUUACUUUUAAUUUUUUUAAAAGAUUUAUGUGUUUAUUUUGAAAGUCAGUUAUAGAGAGACAGGGAGACAGAGAGCUUCCAUGCACUGAUUUACCCCCCAGGUGGUCACAGUGGCCAGCAUUGGGCCAGGCUGAAGCCAGGAGCUUCUUCCAGGUCUCCCAAGUCGGUGCAGGGGUCCAAGCACUUGGGCCAUCUUCUGCUGCUUUCCCAGGCCAGAGAGCUGGAUUGGAAGUGGAGCAGCCAGGACUUGAAUUGACGCUCACUUGGAAUGCCGACACUGCAGGCGGUGACUUUAUCCACACGUCACAACACCAUCCCCUUAACAUUACUUUUUUAUUGCAUCCUCAGGAAUUUCCUGAGAAGAAUUUGAACUGCAUGUGUGAAUUUUAAUCAGUUGAAUGCAUAGGCAUGAAGAUUAACAGGUAAUUAUGAAGGAAAUGAAUGCUUGAGAAACUGGUGGAUUCCACAUCUCCCUGUGUGUUCAUGUAACUCGGAUACAGGGCUCUGCUGAUUGUUAGGAAACUCAGCAGUCCAGCAGUGCAUGCUGGGAGAGGGUUAUGAUGAAGGUGCUGCUUGGUGGCUCGUAGUUUGUCAGGGCUGUGGGAGAGGCGUGUGACGGUGGGCAUCCUGACUCCAAAUGCGGUUUGUUUCUGCCUAUUUCUAGGACCAGUGGCCUAGCGUGCUGCCAAAGAUUAUUUACCGGGGAAAUGGCAAGAGAACACUUUCCACCUACACUGAGGGGCUUACAUUCAGGACACUGAACAAUUGCUACAGGUGUAGCCAUGUGCAUUUCCUACAUGUGUGCAUGGGGUAGGUACAGGUGACGGGGGUGUGAAUGUGUGCCCGCAACCUGGGAUAGGUAUGGGUAACAGGGUGUAUGAGUGUGCACCUGCAGCCUGGGGUAGGUACAGGUGAGAGGUGUAUGAGUGUGUACCUGCAGCCUGGGGUAGGUACAGGUGAGAGGUGUGUGGGUGUGCACCUGCAGCCUGGGGUAGGUACAGGUGAGAGGUGUGUGGGUGUGUACCUGCAGCCUGGGGUAGGUACAGGUGAGAGGUGUGUGAGUGUGCACCUGCAGCCUGGGGUAGGUACAGGUGAGAGGUGUGUGAGUGUGCACCUGCAGCCUGGGGUAGGUACAGGUGAGAGGUGUGUGGGUGUGUACCUGCAGCCUGGGGUAGGUACAGGUGAGAGGUGUGUGAGUGUGCACCUGCAGUCUGGGGUAGGUACAGGUGACAGGUGUGUGGGUGUGUACCUGCAGCCUGGGGUAGGUACAGGUGAGAGGUGUGUGGGUGUGUACCUGCAGCCUGGGGUAGGUAAAGGUGACAGGUGUGUGUGUGUGUGCACCUUCAUUCUUCUGUAGUGCAGGUGACAGGUGCAUGACUGUUAGCCUCAGGUGACAGAGUGUACAGGUCUAGUAUGGUUCUGAUGAUGGUUGCUGGCUUGUUUGCAGGUGGAGUUCACAAAGCCAUGGAUUGGGGGUGACUAAGGGGGCUCAGUCUGUCUUCCUGGCAGCUGUUUCUGGAGUUGGGGUGCCCUGGAGGGGCCUUUGGUACAUUGAGUCUUUAUCUUGCCUUGCGGGCAGUGUGGGCGGGAGCAAGGUGGGAGCUGAGCUGUUCUUGAUGAGCGUGGCUCUCCCACAGGUGUGGAGACAGUAACAGAACCCAGUGAGUGGGAUUUUCCCGCUGUGGGAGAGGAGAAUUGUUUGGUCUGCACCCUUGUGUAGCUGGCCCUGUGGUUUGCCCACGCUGACCUGGGCUCUGGAGGUGCAGACCGGGGCUGGGAGGAGGUACGAGGUGCUGUCUGCCUGCUCGUCCUGGCACCGCUUGUCCCCUCGACACUUCUCCUGGCAGAGAGAGAUGCAGUUUUCCGUGUGAGGAGACGUCUCUCUGCUCACUUACUCUGCAGAGCUUUGGAGACGAGGAUUCAGCUGCGUGGGGGCAGGUGAGGACGCUGACUCAAGGCUAGAGGUUCCUCCAUCAGCUCCGGACUGGAAGGAAACCCACGAGGGCUGUGUCUUUAUCGACCCCGUUCUCCCCGUGUCCGCACUGCUGCUUGGUUGAGAGUGGAGCACUGUGAGGGACCGUGCUGUUCCCAGGGUCCCAAAGUCACCUGACUAAUGUGUCAACUGGUUACUAUGAAAACGUACUUGGAUCGGCUAACAAAGCGUUGGGUGUGCUUAAUUCUAAACAGACUGGGGUUUAAAAAUCCAAACGUGUACAACAUAUAAUCUAGGGGUUGUAAUAAGGAUUAUGAAAGGACAGUGUGCUGUGGAAGGAGUUGAUCAGUGUCUUGUUAAAAACAUUAAUUUCCGGGUGGUGUCUGACCUCACCUUUCAGGGGCGGUUGGGAUACUCUGAUCCAUGGUGGCGGCCCGACUCUGUGCCCUGCCUUGCUGCUCAUCUCACUUCCUGCUGGUGCACACCUGGGAGGCCACGAGUGGGGCCUCCAGUGGUUGUGUCCUUGCUGCCCACGUGGGAAGCCUGGGUUGCUUCCUGACUCCUGGGUCUGGCCCAGGUCCAGCUCUGGUUGUUGGGAGGCAUUGUGGAGAGUGAACUCUAGGCUCUGUCUGGUUCUUGUUUCUCUCUCUCUGCCUUUCAGAGAAAAUUUAGAACCUUUUUAGCACAAUGUAUGAUUUCAGGGCUGGCAUUGUGGCACAGUAGGUUAAGCUCCUCUUGCAAUGCCAGCAUUCCAUAUUGGAGCACCAGUUCGAGUCCCAGCUCCUCCACUUCUGAUCCAGCUCCCUGCUAAAGCACCUGGAAGGCAGUGGAAGAUGGCCCAAGUGUUGGCCCUGCAUCCAUGUGGGAGCCCUGGACAGAGUUCCUGGUUCCUGGCUUCUGGCUGGCCUAAAACUGGCUGCCGUGGCCAUCUAGGGAGUGAAUCAGCAGAUAGAAGUCCACCCCCCACCACCACUUCAUAGAUGAAUCUUUUUAAGAAAAUCAGUUCCCUUUACUGUUAUUUCUUAGUUACAGAUAUUUGUCUAUAGGCUACACAGUUUGCAGAUAAAAUUUAAUUUAUUCAUUUAUUUUAAUUUAUUUGGUAGAGUUACAGAGAGAGAGAGAGAGAAAGGUCUUCCUUUGGUUGGUUCACUCCCUAAAUGGCCGCCAUGGCCGGCGCUAUGCCAAUCUGAAGCCAGGAGCCAGAUGCUUCUCCUGGUCUCCCAUGCGGGUGCAGGGCCCAAGGACUUGGGCCAUCCUCCACUGCCCUCCCAGGCCACAGCAGAGAGCUGGACUGGAAGAGGAGCUACUGGGACUAGAACCCGGCGCCCACAUGGGAUGCAGGCAGAGGAUUAACCAAGUGAGCCACGGCGCCGGCACCUGCAGAUACAAUUUAAAACAGAGGCAUGAGCAGUCCUCUCUGAAGGUGAGUUCAGAGUGAGGGGCUGACACUGGGACCGACAGCGAGUGCAGAAGUGAGGUUGUGGCUUAGAAGUGUUUAGUUGAUUGGCUCGUGUUUUAAGAAAGUCACAUGAAAUUCUCCUGGAAUCACACGCAGUGAAGUAACAGCUCAGGACCUGGCCUUGAGUUCCAAAUAUUGAACUCAUUAAACAAAAGCCUUCUGAGAGAGGUCUUUGAAUGCAUGCUGCGAAACAGUGGGCGUGGAUCUCAGGUCUUUGCACCAAAAUAAACGUGUGCAUUCUGGUUUUGCACCAAGUUUUUGAGGUGCCCUCGAAUCGUCUUAGAAGGAAACCUCAUGUUUACUUAAAUGGUAUGCCUUCGUUUGGAAGCAGCACGUUUAAUGGCUCAGUGUGGUUUUCCCGGCACUUGGCACAGGGUUCGCGUGUGGUGUGGCUGAUGGUCAGUUUCAGGCUUUGCCCCUUAAGGACGCUGUGCUGUCCACAUCCCCAUGAAGCGAGGUCCCCCUGCUGGUCCUCUCGGCCCUGCCUGGGCUGAGGGUUUGAACCCGGGCUGGUGUGGCAGGGGUGGAGACGGCGGGUGGUCUGGGACUCUGCCAGGUCCUGGCCGCCUGCCUCCCUCCCUGGGUUCCCCGGCCUCUGGGGCAGACGACAGGCCCACUCUGUCCGGGACUCUGCCAGGUCCUGGCCGCCUGCCUCCCUCCCUGGGUUCCCCGGCCUCUGGGGCAGAUGGCAGGCCCACUCUUGCUGCACGUGGCCUUCCCAGGAGGUCUCGCCGACACGGCUGACGCUGAAGCUCCUGAGACCUCUGCCAUGCCUGGCCCCUGGCUGAGCCCUGCGCUGGCUCCGCCUACACUCAGCCCAACCGCCCUUCCUCCCGGGGGCUGCAACGCUGCGGCUUCUCCACCCCCGUGCCCGCCCCACGCCCAGUGCUCCGGCUCGGAUUGUGAGAAUGAGUUCCUGAGGCUCCUUACAUUCUGUUGUCCUGUAUUUUUCAGUUUUAGAACAUGACUUGAAUGAGUUCAGUAUGAGAGUUGAGAGUUGGGGUCAGCCGUGGUCUCAGUGGUGGUUGGCGUUGAGGGUGGACGUCACUUGAGGGUUGUGUGCCCGGCUGGUUGCUGGGCCUGCAGGAAACAGAUGCACGGCCAGCGGUGGGCUUGGAGAGAGCUCUCAGCGGGUCUCUCUGAGGACGGCAGUGAGUGGCGCAGGGUUCAGCCCCCGUCAGCCCCAGUGCCCCGUGCUCCACGAGCCGGGAGCCCACUGACACCCUUCUCCGCGUGCUCACUGUCCUGCUCCAGAAUCGCGUUUCCCGUGCUCCUGCGUGUCCCUGGUGGAAGGCGCUGUCUGCUCGGUUGCUUGGUUGCCGCUUCCCACGCCAGGCCCCGGUCAGCACCGUUCUAACUUGUGUGGUGCUGUCCUGGGGGAAGCGUGAGCAGUCCUGCUUAGUGUCUUCUGUGUGAGCGUGCCUGUCCCACUCACACGUGUGUCAUGCAUGUCACCAGCAGGUGCCACCAGAAACGACCUCCAGGCUGGCAUCAUUGCAGGCGCUGGGAGCAGAGCAGGCUGAGCCCACUGGUCAGCUGCCUUGCGGGUCGUGCUGAGGAGUUUGGAUUUUGUCCACUGGAGUACAGAGUUAUUGUGAGAUCUGUAACAGGGGGUGACAGAAGCAGCUUUGAGGCGCAGGCUGACGGUGACAGCAGAGUGGACGAUGGCUCGCAGGGCUGUGGACCAAUGCCCAAGCUGGAGCGUGGUGCACGGGAGCCCCUCAGGGACGGCCAGCUUGCUCUUCACGCUUCGGCUGCCCCUGUGCUGUGGGCAGCCGGCAGCCUGCAGACGGAGGACAGAUCUGACACGGCCCCCGCAGCAGGGGUGCAGCGUCCGGCCGUGGUGUCCAGGUCCCUGUGUGUGCAGGGUGAACCGUGACGUGUCCCGGUAGGCGUGCCUGUGCAGCAUGCAGGUGGAUCGGUGCCUGGAAGGCUGCCCUGCACCGGGCACCCUGCUGCCGCAUCUGUCGUCCCCAGACUCACACCAGCCCUCAGGCCAGCCCUUCCCCCGUGGCCAGCAGUGCAGCAGGCUGACCUUACACGCUGUGUGCAGGGUCCCGCCGUCAGCCUCCCCGUGGUCAGGGCACUGCCUGCAGGACACACAGCCUCCAGUCGCCCUUCCCUCCCCUCCCCCUCCUCCUCUCUCCUCUUACCAGGGUGCCCAUGGUCAGGGUGCUGCCAGGAGGACACCACAGCCUCCAGUCUCCCUUCCCCACUCCUCUUUCCCCUCCCUCUGCCCCUCUCUCCCCUUACCAGGGUGCCCAUGGUCAGCCUCCCUGUGGUCAGGGCACUGCCUGCAGGGACACACAGCCUCUAGUCGCCCUUCCCCACUCCUCUUUCCCCUCCCUCUCCCCUUCUCCUCCCCCUCUCUCCCCUUACCAGGGUGCCCAUUGUCAGCCUCCCCAUGGUCAGGGUGCUGCCAGGAGGACACCACAGCCUCCAGUCUCCCUUCCCCACUCCUCUCCCCCUCCCCUUUCUCCCUCCCUCCCCUCACCAGGGUGUCCAGGGUCAGCCUCUCCAUGAUUAGGGCACUGCCUGGUGGAUACAACAGCUUAAAGUCCCCCCUCCUCCCCCCCUCCCCCUCCCCCUUGUCCUCUCUCCCUCUUUCCCCUCCUCCCUUUUCCUUCCUCCCACGCCCUCCUCCUCCUCUCCUCUAUUGUACUGUGCGGAGCGUGGCAUCAGUAUUGCUGGCAUGAGGUUGUGAUUCUGUUCUAGGCUAAAAGGGAAACGUGUUCUGGUUCCUCUUCCUCAGAUUCCUGAUGAUGGCGGACGGGGGGUGGG